rnacentral:rRNA from 1 species
UACGUAGGGUGCAAGCGUUGUCCGGAAUUAUUGGGCGUAAAGAGCUCGUAGGCGGUUUGUCACGUCGGAUGUGAAACCCUGAGGCUCAACCUCAGGCCUGCAUUCGAUACGGGCAGACUAGAAUUCGGCAGGGGAGACUGGAAUUCCUGGUGUAGCGGUGAAAUGCGCAGAUAUCAGGAGGAACACCGGUGGCGAAGGCGGAUCUCUGGGCCGUAACUGACGCUGAGGAGCGAAAGCAUGGGGAGCGAACAGG